GACGAACGCUGGCGGCGUGCCUAAUACAUGCAAGUAGAACGCUGAAGGAGGAGCUUGCUCUUCUGGAUGAGUUGCGAACGGGUGAGUAACGCGUAGGUAACCUGCCUGGUAGCGGGGGAUAACUAUUGGAAACGAUAGCUAAUACCGCAUAACAGUAGAUGUUGCAUGACAUUUGCUUAAAAGGUGCAAUUGCACCACUACCAGAUGGACCUGCGUUGUAUUAGCUAGUUGGUGGGGUAACGGCUCACCAAGGCGACGAUACAUAGCCGACCUGAGAGGGUGAUCGGCCACACUGGGACUGAGACACGGCCCAGACUCCUACGGGAGGCAGCAGUAGGGAAUCUUCGGCAAUGGACGGAAGUCUGACCGAGCAACGCCGCGGGAGUGAAGAAGGUUGUCGGAUCGUAAAGCUCUGUUGUAAGAGAAGAACGAGUGUGAGAGUGGAAAGUUCACACUGUGACGGUAUCUUACCAGAAAGGGACGGCUAACUACGUG
rnacentral:rRNA from 1 species